AUAAACAGACGAGUGCUGUCCCCUGAUUUAUUAUUACAUAUCGAGCGCAAAAUUAUUAACCAUGUUAACGAAUAGAACCUUUCUUCAAACGGGGUAACAUAAAUCAUUGACUUUUUCGUAGACACAUCAAUAAAAUGAAGAAGUUACUUAAAAUAUUGACACGUUCAAUGGGAUUUAUAAGGUUUACUAACAGUACCAGGAUAUAAAAAAGGGGGAGGGCCGGUUGGUAGGUCAACU
rnacentral:lncRNA from 1 species